UGCCGAGAAAAGCUUCUAGCCAGAGACGGUGCACCCGUACCGCAAACCGACACAGGUAGUCGAGGAGAGUAUCCUCAGGUGAGCGAGAGAACUCUCGUUAAGGAACUCGGCAAAAUGGCCCCGUAACUUCGGGAGAAGGGGCGCUGGUCGCAAGAUCAGCCGCAGUGAAAAGGCCCAAGCAACUGUUUAUCAAAAACACAGGCAUCUGCAAAAUCGUAAGAUGAAGUAUAGGUGCUGACACCUGCCCGGUGCUGGAAGGUUAAGAGGAGAGCUUAGCGCAAGCGAAGGUUUGAAUUGAAGCCCCAGUAAACGGCGGCCGUAACUAUAACGGUCCUAAGGUAGCGAAAUUCCUUGUCGGGUAAGUUCCGACCUGCACGAAAGGUGUAAUGAUUUGGGCACUGUCUCAACGAGAGACUCGGUGAAAUUAUAAUACCCGUGAAGAUGCGGGUUACCCGCGACAGGACGGAAAGACCCCAUGGAGCUUUACUGCAGUUUAAUAUUGGGUAUCUGUCAAGCAUGUACAGGAUAGGUAGGAGCCGGAGAAGAUAGGACGCCAGUCUUAUC
rnacentral:rRNA from 1 species